rnacentral:rRNA from 1 species
AUGAGAUUCCCCUCGCCCAGGGAUGUAGACAAGGCAUGUUUCGCUGAAACCAUGAAUAUAAAAAGCUGUGGAGCUGUGGUAAGUCUUAAGAAGUGGUCUGAAUCUGUUGGUGCCAAGGGUGUACUUAACAUUGCUUGGGUCAAUGUUAGCAACAUCCCUCUGGACAAAAGGCAUGAAAUGAACAUUGCAUAUGUUGGAUCUUUGGUGGGUGUGACCUUGGAAAUUGAUAAAUCCACUGUGAAUAGACCUGAAUCGGUCAGAAUUAAGUUGGGUUGCAGAGAUGCUGAAAAUAUUCCAGGAAAAGCUGAGGGAGUGCUGGGUGACCACUUUUAUGAUUUCUUCUACUCUGUUGACAAGAUUCUGGUUAAGAAUCCUCCAAAAUAA